UACGUGUGGUCCGAGCGUUGUCCGGAAUGACUGGGCGUAAAGGGUGCGUAGGUGGGCACAUAAGUCAGGUGUGAAAUCCCCGGGCUCAACCUGGGAAGUGCGCUUGAAACUAUGUGUCUCGAGGCUGUCAGGGGUAAGCGGAAUUCCCGGAGUAGCGGUGAAAUGCGUAGAUAUCGGGAAGAACACCGGUGGCGAAGGCGGCUUACUGGGACAGAUCUGACACUGAGGCACGAAGGCGUGGGGAGCAAACAGGAUUAGAAACCCGAGUAGUCC
rnacentral:rRNA from 1 species